GGAGCUGGGUGGAGAUGGGCAAAAGAGGGGAAAAUGAGGGUAUCUGUAAUAGUGUCAACAAUAAAAAUAAAGAAAAAAUUUAAAAUAGCUAAAAAAACAAAUAAUUACUUCACAAAGAUAUAUUGAUCAAAUGGCUAAAGUACAUUAUCGACUAAACGUAUGCACUAGCAGUUCCCAUUUUCAAAACAUCUGCCAAUUACACAAAAGUUUUGAUUAAUAUUUGUCUGGUAAAUGUUUCUGUUCCCUGAUAUCAUUAAGUUCUCAGAAAAUGUAUUACACAGUUUGUGUUAAUAGAGAUGGGGGAUGUUGAAAUAAAAAACUCUUUAUAUUCAUUGAAAAUUUUUAAAUAGGUGAUUUUUGGUAAGUUCUCUGUAAUACAAAAGCAUAAUUGCUUUCUCCAUAAAAUUAGCUUCUUUCCAAAGAAGUUAUUUUCUUGCAUUUCUUGAAACUUGUGAUUAAGUAAACUUAUUUAAAGAAAAAAAAUGUGCCAGGUAACAUUACUGGCAGCCACUUAUGAUCACAGAGUAGGUCAGGAAAUUUAGAACAAAUUGUAUAUAUGUAAAACAAAAAUGUGUUAAUCAUCCUUAAGACAAUUAUUCUAUGUACUUUGCAUGAGAUAACUAACACCUGUGUAUGGUACAAAGUAUUUCUGUGGUCACUUCCCACCUCAUUAAAUUAAAGGUUUUUAUACCACAUAGAUGGCAUUCUACUAUAAAUAAACUGAGUGCAUGACAGAGGGGCCAUUUAGGAUGUGAGCCCAAAUGAGGGUGCCGGCAUUGACAUGAGCUGCAUUUCUUACCUAAGGUAAAAAUAACUGAAUGAAUGUUCUGAUAGUUUCCUGUUGCACAUGGUCUUUCUUACUCCUCCCUCUUCCACACCCCCCUUAGGAGAGUCUACAAGUAGUAUGUGAGUGAAAGAGUGACUCCAGAUUUACACCUCUUUCAUUUUUUAGAUUCCGUCACAGAAAUCAUAAAAUGUUAGAACCAGGUGGUACUUGUAUUUUUCCCCCCAAUGUCUUCAUUUUAUAGAUGAGAAAACAGACACAGAGAAGUAAAAAGACAGCACCCAGAGGUAGAGUCAGGGCUAGAGCUCUGUUUUCCUCUUAGCACCAGGUUCCUUUUCUGUGUGUAGUUCAUCUCUGGAAGUAUGUAGAUGACUCACAGUUCCCAGAUGCAAACUAGGGGAGAUCUGUUGGUAAAGACCAGUUUCCUUUUCAAAUCUCUCUGGUCUGUUCUUGUGCGUUCCAAGCAUAUGGCCUUGAAGAAUCAUCUUUAUUUUUACUUUUCCUUCCUUUUAAUCAUAGAUGCAUACUUUGUCUACAUAUUAUUGAAAUGUGAAGGAUAUUCAUAGAGUCUCAUUUCCUGAGACAUAGCCUUCUAAGUGAAUCAAGAUGUGAUGUGGAAUCAUUCUUGGACUCUUUUUAGUGAUGAAGAUGAAAUCUUUAUAAUGUACCUUCUGUUCAAUAGCCUUGGAGACUUUUAACAGAGAAAAUAUAGGUAAAAAUUAAACAAAAGCAAAAAUGAUAUCAAUAACAAGUUGUAAAGGAGAAGAAAAUAUAUAUUUACCAUAAAACGUUGCACUGUUAUAGUUGAAGACACUAUAUAAUAUUUGAACUUGAGACUUAGGUGUGAAUUUCGUAGCAGCCAUGACAAAGCUGUAACAGCUGCUCUCCUUGUCUCCUGGGAGGACAAAUACUAGUUUAUUUUCACCCCUUGGUUCUGACGGAAAUUUGCUGUGAUGAAGGGGAUUAAACAACCAAAUGAAUGACCCCAGUAGAUUAAAAGAGGAUUAAAAUGAUUGGAUAUGCAUAACUGUUUAUUAUUGAGUUCUAUAGAACCCGAUGGCAAAAUGUGACAUGGGAGUGGGGACUCUGAACGAUAUAGCCCAAGUAUACAGUCUUCUCCUAAUCUGGAUUUAUACCAGAUAGAGCUUGAAUAAAUGAUUGCUUCAAGAAUUAGUUUCUCCAGUUGGGCUUGGUGAAAAAUUGAGGUCAUGACUGUGUGCUUACAGGACGUGCUUUCUGCAUUGCUGACUCUAAGAAGAUUCAUACACUGUAGGGAGUGAGGACCAUUUUUUAACAGGUAACACGAGAACCUGACUUGUGGACUUACACCAUCUCUGUCUAGAGGGUCAUAAGCAGGGCCUGGGUAUUUCUCAGAAGUGUUCCACAAUAAUAGUUGAAGCCCCCCCCAGAUUCUGAGUUAUUGAGCAGGGAAUCAAUAUUUAGGAUAGUACAUAGCGAGUGACUGCCCUUAUAAUAGAAGAAUCUAAACACAGCUUCUAUAAUGUUUAUUUAUAAACAUACCCUAGCCUAUACUAUCCCUCAAAUAAUCUGUUGUAGAUUUCAGACUAUUUUCUGUUGUCUAAGACACUGACAGGUUUGUGAUGUGUGGUCGAGACUGGCAAUGACAAGGAAUUUAGAGUCUUGACUCUCGUUUUAAGAUCUUUCAGCAGCUCUUUCUAUUCAGUGAGUUAGGAAUGUUAUUAAGAAAGCUCAUUCUUGAGAAGUUAGAGUUGUGCUGCUUUGAAGUGAGUUCUUGAAAGUUACUUAGCAAAGCCGUGUGGGUCACGCACUUGCUGAGAGUAGGGUUUCCCUUUCUGUCAGUUGCUUGCAACUGAUAACCUAGGAAACCUAGGAAAUGACAUCCAAAUGCAGCAAUAAUGGACAGGCCACCUCAUCCUGUUGAACAGUUUCAAAUAUCAAAGUAUAUUUUGCACAAAUGGUGGUGUAAAGACAUACGUUUUGUGAUGGAAAUUAAGGAGUAACAUUUUUAAAAUUCAGUAACCAGAAAGUUCUUUAAGUACUUCUGCAGGGAAAAAACCCAACACAUACUUCUUUUAUCAUGAUGUGUACACAAAGAAAUACACUGGGAUGGAAAUUAGUAAUCCUGAGAGGAGGAGAAAGAACGAGAGGAGGAAAAUAAAUCUGGAGCUUCAUCAUAUACAGAUGUGAAUGAAAAAAUGAUGGUAGUGGAAAUGUACUUCAAGUUUUGACCUGUAAGAUCCUGGAGACAGUGCAAGUCCACAGAAGGGCUCAAGUAUUUGAAAAGAGUAAUAAGUAAAUGCUGGCCUUAUUCAGUGAUAUACUUGGAGUAAUCUUUUUUUUUUUGACAUGAAAGUGUUGCCAAAGAAAAAAGCUUGAGCAGUCAGUGAAGAUACUGCAGAAUGUUGUAGCGACACCAUCCUUUACAGUGGUUCUAUUUUGUUAAGUUGCUCUAGUUUGGUUCCACGGUUUCCAGUGCUAUACCUUUUGCAUUGUUUACAUUUCCAAACUGAAGAUAGGCAUGCCAUUACUGCUCUUCACAGAGAGAUGCAUGUAUCUGUUUCCUCUAAGGGAGUAGUGACACGGCAGACCAAGUUGUUAAAACCUUUUAGAUGUAGGGGCUGUUGAUAACUGAAUGCUGAGGGGUCCGCUCGGUAUGCGGUACAAUAAUGUAAAAGGGGGAUUGCUGGGUGAGGCAGCCUAGAGGGAAGGAGGGAGAGAAGGUUUGGGGCUCAAGGCUGGGCCUGGCUUCAGUAGCCCCCUGAAAGGCUCCAGCAACCCCAGCUUUGUGAAACCUCUUAGAAGAAUAACCCACCAAAAAAAGAAGAAAAAGGGGUUAGUGUCUUUUUAAAGUUAUAGACAGAAAACUGUAUCUAAGUGAUUCCUUUCUUGAAUUUAAUUCUUGAUUACAGUGUACUAUUUUGAGGUAUGUGAUAAAUUAUUACAAGCUGAGGUCUUUUGCUCUUGGUUCUGGGUGUGUGGGGAACUUAAUGGGAAUAGGAAUGCCUCAACUUUUGUGAGUAAAACAUGUCAUGUUUUCAGAGACUGUAUUUUUCCCACCAUUUGCCAUCAAUGCUACUCAGGAAAUAUUUCCAUAAGGUGGUUCUUAACUUUGUGCUUGAUAU